rnacentral:rRNA from 1 species
CAAUAGCGUAUAUUUAAGUUGCUGCAGUUAAAAAGCUCGUAGUUGGAUUUCGGGUGGGAAUGGCCGGUCUGCCGUUUCGGUGUGCACUUGCUACGCCCACCUUGCUGCCGGGGACGUGCUCUUGAGUUCACGCUCGGGACACGGAGUCGGCGAGGUUACUUUGAGUAAAUUAGAGUGUUCAAAGCAGGCCUACGCUCUGAAUACAUUAGCAUGGAAUAACACGAUAGGACUCUGGCCUAUCUUGUUGGUCUGUAGGACCGGAGUAAUGAUUAAGAGGGACAGUCGGGGGCAUUCGUAUUUCAUUGUCAGAGGUGAAAUUCUUGGAUUUAUGAAAGACGAACUACUGCGAAAGCAUUUGCCAAGGAUGUUUUCAUUAA